GGGAGGGGAAUAAUCUGUAAACCAGCACUAUUCUUUUCGUACUUUACUUUGAUUCCAUGAAUUUCACUGUUUCAUGAUUUCUGUUAAAAAUGCAUAUAGUUUUUGAUUAGUUUCCCACACUGUGGAACCAAACAACUGAAUAUGACAGAAUUUAAUUUCGUUGCCGAGGAGUCAUUCCCUUGAUGCAUUGGCAGAGAUCACCCAAUCAAAGACUGGCUAAAGGUUAGGAUAUGUGCCAUUGUGUGUAUGUCAGUAAACAUUUCAUAGCAAUAUGAAUAGCCCUCUCCCUUCAGUGAUUUGGAAAUUGUGAGGAGGGGGACAGGAAGAUUGAAACAGAGACCUUGCUCCAUGCAUCAAAGCUGUUUUCAACAAAGCUCUCUCCACUUUUCUGCACCAGUGCUCCCUAUUAUUAAGUUUUCUAUCUAAUGAAAACAAACUUUGUUUUUUAAAUAAUAAAAUAAAACAGCCUGUAAAUUUAUCACAAAUAUUCAAACUCCAUUCUGAAGCACAUACAGGAAAUAUAUGUAUGAUAUAUACCAUAAUGAUAGCUAUACAUAUGCAUUAGCAAAGAGAAUCCAGGGCUUGCAGGAUCAGUCUGUCAGGACUUUUUGAUUAGCAGAGACAAUAACAUCCACCAAGGUUUUACACUGAUAAGAUGGAGUGUAAUGUUACACUCAUGGAAGAAGAUGGCAUUCACACACCAUUGCCUACAUAUUGAAUACUAGCAUUGGACAAUCAAAUGCACAUCCUGAAUAACCAUGGCAACGGAAAGCCACAACCACGUGCAGCACACAAUUAUGUACAGUGCACCAAAUAUACAACUCUAUUUCUGAUCAAUUUUGAACUGAAUAUGGUUAUUCUGCACCAAACAAGAACGUCAACGUGCUUCGAUAGGAGAAGAGGUGUAAGAUACCUGCUAUAAAGAUUGCAGAGAAUUCAGAACUGAGAACAUGAGCAUUCAAUCUACCAACAAAUAUUUUGGUGCUAAUGACAGCAGAAAUAAAACUUAUGAAUUUGAAGAUGAAAUAAACGUCUCUGCAGAAGCAAAAUCAAGGAAAGCUAAUUUCUAAGGUAACCAAUCUUUCUCUUGGGAUUUCUCUCAAUGCUGGAAAAGGAAUAGAUAGGAAGAAAAAUGAAUCUGCUAAGCAGAGGACCUGGAAGAUGCUACAAAGACGUUUUUGCGGGGGGAGGGGUGGGUGUACCCUUUUUUUUUCUUUUUUUUUUCUCUUUACUUAGUUCAUUUUGUGAAAUGUGUUCCCUUACUUUUUAUGUAUUAAUAAAAGCAUGAAUAAAAAAAAGAAAGAAAUGGAGAUUAGCAGCAACCCCCAGAGUCAGACUAGGCUUAACGUCUAUAAACAAAGUGUGCACACAAUGAACCAUCAGAAAGCAAAGGUGUCUUUUUCCUGAGGCAUUCAUGUGGAUCAUUUUGGAUUUUGGAGUAUUUGUUAUUUCAGAAUUCUGGAUAAGGGAUGCUCAACUUGCAUUUGAAAAUAUGUAAAAAGAAAAAAUACACUGACGAAUAUUUCAAAAGAAUUUUUGGAGUUCAUAACUUAUUCUACAUGAAAUUCACAUGUGGUUCAAAUCUUUGCUCAGAAAACCUCAUUUUCUGGUCUGAUUUUAGCAUUUUAUAUGCAGAAAACUUUUUUUGCUCAUUAGUUGUUUUCUAUUCAGAAAACAAAUUAGACAGUAUCUCUACCCAUCUACUCAGUUGCUUUGAACAUGGAAUAAGGCUUUUCAAAUUCCAUGUUAACUAUUUUACAGAAAAGAUACUUCUGAUGGAGUCGGUGGUUUAUAUAAUCUCAGAAGGUUUCUGAGAGACAGUGAGGUCAUGACAACUUUAAUUAACCAGUACUCCUAGAUUUCCAUAAAAAAAUGUGUUCUUCUGUCUGUUCAAUGGAUUGGUAUUUAUCGUUAGUAACAAGUUAUGAAGACAACUGAAAUAAUAUUUUUGUUUGCCCAAGGGAACCUUUAUGCAUUUCAGCUUGCACAUGUACACACACACACACACACACACACACACCAAGUAGAACAAAGCAAGGCCUUAAAACAAAUGUAACUGACAAUUAUUUUCUUCUGAUCAGAAAAUAAUUUAGGAAAAUAUUGACAUUUGAUAGUCCUCCUAUUAACCAGAUGUUAAUUUUAGAUUUAAAGUAUGCUGGUAUUAUUUUCUCAGUACCAGCCUUUCAAUUUUUAUUACCUCAAAUACCCUACUCUUGUGAAUUCUUCCUCACUCAAAACACACUGAAGUGUCAAUGUCACCCCUUUGGUUUACGUGCUAAAAGCAUUUACAGUC